rnacentral:rRNA from 1 species
ACGAACGCUGGCGGUGUGCUUAACACAUGCAAGUCGCACGGUAAGGCCCUUUCGGGGGUACACGCGUGGCGAACGGGUGAGUAACACGUGAGUAACCUGCCCUCAUCUCUGGGAUAACAGUCGGAAACGGUUGCUAAUACUGGAUAUGAGCUUGCAAGGCAUCUUGUGGGUUGGAAAGAUUUUUUUUGGUUGGGGAUGGACUCGCGGCCUAUCAGCUUGUUGGUGAGGUAGUGGCUCACCAAGGCUUCGACGGGUAGCCGGCCUGAGAGGGCGACCGGCCACAUUGGGACUGAGAUACGGCCCAAACUCCUACGGGAGGCAGCAGUGGGGAAUAUUGCACAAUGGACGGAAGUCUGAUGCAGCAACGCCGCGUGCGGGAUGACGGCCUUCGGGUUGUAAACCGCUUUCAAUUGUGACGAAGCUUUUUUGUGACGGUAGCAGUAGAAGAAGCACCGGCUAACUACGU